AACCAUUCUCACCUGCGGCUAGACCUGCGGAAGGAUCAUUAAAAAGAGUGUGUACCCCUCUGUAAAAUGAGUGGGUUACCUCCCGUCCUUUGUUGACCUCUUAGGAGGUUAUUUUGAACUUUCUGCUUCGGUGGGGUUAAACCUACCGGAACACCCUCAAAUUCUUAUCAUUUAAAAAUUGUUCAGUCUGAUUUUUGUUAAUAAAAACAAAAAACUUUUAACAACGGAUCUCAGAUCGGA
rnacentral:misc_RNA from 1 species